GCGGAGAGGAGGGAGGCGGGCGGCGCUAUUGUGAGAGGGGCCGCCGCCGCCUCGAGGGGCGGGGAGGGGGCCGCGAGGGGAGGCCGGGGAAGAGGGGCGAGGACCGAGGAGCGCGCGGAGGAGCGGGGUGAAGCGGCCCCACACUGGUACUGGAGAGAAUCAGGUUCUUUGUCUCUAAGUGCUCCAGACCAGAAGCCGAGGGACCGCUGGUUCCCGGAGGGAGGAGAAUCCAUGAUGUCUGCUGCCCGGGGAGUUGUCGCCACAACCUCCUUGCCAUGAAGUAUCGCCAACUACCAACAGUUCUUCCCCAACGGCCGUUUCCCCAGCCUCCUUACCACUCCUCGCAUCAUUUGGAGGCUCUGGAAGCGUCGAAGCAAAGGAUAUCCCUGAAGGGAUUUGUCCCUUGACCGCCAAUAAUUUAGGCUACUCUAUGUUGAAUUCUCUUUGGUAUCUCUCCAAGUUCAUUUUGCGUGUGUGUCUUAAUUUCCAAGCGACUGUAGCCAACACGUCCUCACAGAAAUCCUCAUGGAAAAACUUUCAAUUCGUCUUAAUUGAUUUUCUUGUCUGAGAUGUGCUUUUUAAAGUCCUCAUGGAGAUGGAGAAGUCUAACAUUCUCUGGCCUAAUGUGAAUACCUCUAAUUAAAACUGUGACUCUGUUUUGUGAUCCCAAAGCAUGAAGGACUGGAUUUUAAACAAAUGGGUAUGAAUAUGUUAAGACUCCAAGAGAGCCCCAGCCCUCUUCUGCCAGAUUGUAUGGCCCUCAGAUCUGCAAGGGAAAUGUUGGCCUUAGGGAUACCAAGGAAUGGAGGGAGUGGACAUGGGAGAGAAUACAGAAUGUGGCCAUCUC